AAAUUGAAGAGUUUGAUCAUGGCUCAGGUUGAACGCUGGCGGCAGGCCUAACACAUGCAAGUCGAACGGUAACAGGAAGCAGCUUGCUGCUUCGCUGACGAGUGGCGGACGGGUGAGUAAUGUCUGGGAAACUGCCUGAUGGAGGGGGAUAACUACUGGAAACGGUAGCUAAUACCGCAUAACGUCGC
rnacentral:rRNA from 1 species